rnacentral:rRNA from 1 species
GAUGCUACCGGGCGACCGGAUGCGGAUCUCGAAAGCCUGUCCCAGUUCGGACUGGAGUCUGCAACCCGACUCCACGAAGUUGGAUUCGCUAGUAAUCGCGCAUCAGCCAUGGCGCGGUGAAUACGUUCCCGGGCCUUGUACACACCGCCCGUCAAGCCAUGGGAGCCGGGGGCGCCUGAAGUCCGGGACCGCGAGGACCGGCCUAGGGCGAAACUGGUAACUGGGGCUAAGUCGUAACAAGGUAUC